rnacentral:rRNA from 1 species
GACUUGUGUGCGCCGGAUGCGGCGGUCUGCGGUCAAAAGAUCGUUGCGACCAGCCCGUCCUGGCGCCGUAAAAUCUGCAACUGAGUCGUCGCUGGCCUUAACUGGUCGGCGGCGCCUGCUCGGUUGCUCGUUUACUGUGAGAAAAUUGGAGUGUUCAAGGCAGGCAUUAUUGCAACUGAACAUGUUAGCAUGGAAUAAUAAGAUAGGGCUCCGGCUCCAUUUUGUUGGUUUCUAGAGCGGGAGUAAUGAUUGAUAGGGACAGUUGGGGGUGCUAGUAUUCAGCGGCCAGAGGUGAAAUUCAUGGAUUCGCUGAAGACUGACUUAUGCGAAAGCAUU